rnacentral:misc_RNA from 1 species
ACGACUUAGAGUCCCCGCCGCCUCUCUUCGACUCGCCUGAAGGCUUUCAUGUGUAUUCCCCUUACGGGCUCGACGUAUCCGUUAUCAAUAGUUUACCUCUUUUCCUCUACACCACCAAAAAUGGCUCCCCUGAGCACUAAUAGUAAAGACUGCGCUGUCUGCUUGCUCGAGUUCGAAGAUAACGAUUACAUCCGUACGCUUCCUGUUUGCUCUCACGCCUUUCACGUGGAUUGUAUCGAUAUCUGGCUAAGGUCUCA